rnacentral:misc_RNA from 1 species
CGCACAUUGCACUCCUUGGUAUUCCGGGGAGUAUGCUUGUCCGAGCGUCAUUUCACCUCUCAAGCUUACGCUUGGUAUUGGAUCUUGUCGGUAACAGACAUUUCCGAAAACGAGUGGCAGGUUGUUGAACUUUAGCGAAUUGAAAUAUUAUCGUGUCAAGUCUCAUCACGCCUUGCCAGAAAACCUUCAAUAUCUUGACCUCGGAUCAAGUAGGGAUACCCGCUGAACUUAA